GUGCUCACUUCAGCGGCCCAUAUACUAAAAUUGGAACGAUGCACAGAACAUUAGCAUGGCCCCUGCGCAAGGAAGACGUGCAAAUCCGUGAAGCAUUCCAUAUUAAA